GAGAAACAAUCACCUGUGUCACGUGUGCUGGAACAGAGACACACCUAAAAUAAGAAGGAGUCUAUUUAGAGCAGCAAGAAACCAACAGAAAUGUCUGGAGUUUGAUUCAAGUUAGCCAUUAGCACAGAGGAGCUCCCAUCGCCAGCUAACCUGGACCGCUCUGUGGCAGCUCAAACAACCAGAGAAAAUGGCAGGAACACCAGGAGAGGUCAAAUCAAUACUUCCAGUACAUUGGAGGAGAACAAAAGCAGUGGUCAGCCUGGCAUCAUGAUGAGCUCAGCCUGGAUGAUAAUGGCGGAUGACUGCAGCUGAAAAAUAGGAAGAGUUCAGUCUGUUGGGACUUGAGAGUGGAGAGCUCAGUGUAAGACUUAGUCUACAGCUAGAUAUUGGCACAGCACCAAUCCCCUUACACAGUGUUUUUCCUUAAACACAACAGACCUGGUAUAUUCAUUCUCCUGCUGCUGGUUAAGAAGUAAUUGGACUUGAAUCUACCACAGCGUUUCUCUGCAUGGAGUUUGCGUGUUCUCAGCAUCCAUUGAUUGUAAAUGGGUAAUCCGGCAACUUCCCUAAGGUAUGAGUGUGUGCUGUUUAUUAUGCAAGUCCCUGUGUGUCCUUCCCAUUUCAUACGUCUGAAUAUUGACAUGAACCACUCUGACUGUGCAUAAGAACAAGGAUUAGAUGGAUGGGUCACUCUUCAUCUGUUGUGUGUUUGGCGCCAACUUUUUAACCAAAGUGAUAUUGUAGGAUAAUUUGCUGUUUUUAUGCUCAUCCAUUAUGUCACUGGAAAGUCUCAACACAACUCUGACCCUCAGAACGCUUGCCGCUGAAUGUUCCCCAUUUAUAACUCAAAGUUUACUAAAGCUUAUGAUUUGUUAGGUGCUAGCCAAUGCUUUAAAGAGUAGUUACAGAGAAUACUACCCAUUCACCAGGAGGCAAUGCAAACUCUACAAUAAUGGGCUUUGACCAGGACACUGAACCUAUUUGCUGCAAGGCAACAGUGCUAAGUGCUCCACCAUGCAACACCAAACAAAAGUUUUUAUGUUUAAUCUGUGAAAAGUAAUCGACCCUAACCCUUUCUGCUGUACAGAGUAUGCCAUUUUAGAAAUUUACAGCUAAUUUCUAAUUUUAGAUAAAGCAACAUUCAGUUAAUACUUCUUCAGGGCUAAAUCAGCUAUCUAAAAUAGUUUUGAUCUCUAUAGUACAGCCUGUUGGCUAGUGGUCACAGGAAAAUGUUAAAUCAACGAAAGACAUUUAUAGAGCUACACUCUCAGUAAUUGCCAUCCUCAUGGUGUGAUGGCGACAUUAUUAGAAUCCCACUUUUCUUUUUAAUCACAGGAGGUUUAACCUUCUCUCCCUCUUGCCUUGCCACUCUGGAGUUCAGACCGGCCAUCACAGAGACACACACACUGUGCAGACUGUUGGAGGAGAUUGUUUAAAAGUAAGAGGAACUACCUUGUAUUUCAAUUUUCUUAAUUCCCAGAAAUUUGCAGAAAAAACAUUGACUUUUUUUGAGUCUUCAAGGCACAAGUCUAUGCAGUUUCUCUGUGAAAAUUCACUCCUCACACUGGCAGCAUGAUCACAUCAACUAUGACAUUUCCAGAAGAUGUUUGUACCCCUCAGUAAAAGUGCACAAACCGUA